CUAUACAUGCAAGUCGAGCGGAUCUUCAUUAGCUUGCUUUUGAAGAUCAGCGGCGGACGGGUGAGUAACACGUGGGCAACCUGCCUGUAAGACUGGGAUAACUUCGGGAAACCGGAGCUAAUACCGGAUAAUCCUUUCCCUCACAUGAGGGAAAGCUGAAAGACGGUUUCGGCUGUCACUUACAGAUGGGCCCGCGGCGCAUUAGCUAGUUGGUGAGGUAACGGCUCACCAAGGCAACGAUGCGUAGCCGACCUGAGAGGGUGAUCGGCCACACUGGGACUGAGACACGGCCCAGACUCCUACGGGAGGCAGCAGUAGGGAAUCUUCCGCAAUGGACGAAAGUCUGACGGAGCAACGCCGCGUGAACGAUGAAGGCUUUCGGGUCGUAAAGUUCUGUUGUUAGGGAAGAACAAGUACCGGAGUAACUGCCGGUACCUUGACGGUACCUAACCAGAAAGCCACGGCUAACUACGUGCCAGCAGCCGCGGUAAUACGUAGGUGGCAAGCGUUGUCCGGAAUUAUUGGGCGUAAAGCGCGCGCAGGCGGUUCCUUAAGUCUGAUGUGAAAGCCCCCGGCUCAACCGGGGAGGGUCAUUGGAAACUGGGGAACUUGAGUGCAGAAGAGGAGAGCGGAAUUCCACGUGUAGCGGUGAAAUGCGUAGAGAUGUGGAGGAACACCAGUGGCGAAGGCGGCUCUCUGGUCUGUAACUGACGCUGAGGCGCGAAAGCGUGGGGAGCGAACAGGAUUAGAUACCCUGGUAGUCCACGCCGUAAACGAUGAGUGCUAAGUGUUAGAGGGUUUCCGCCCUUUAGUGCUGCAGCAAACGCAUUAAGCACUCCGCCGGGGGAGUACGGCCGCAAGGCUGAAACUCAAAGGAAUUGACGGGGGCCCGCACAAGCGGUGGAGCAUGUGGUUUAAUUCGAAGCAACGCGAAGAACCUUACCAGGUCUUGACAUCCUCUGACAACCCUAGAGAUAGGGCGUUCCCCUUCGGGGGACAGAGUGACAGGUGGUGCAUGGUUGUCGUCAGCUCGUGUCGUGAGAUGUUGGGUUAAGUCCCGCAACGAGCGCAACCCUUGAUCUUAGUUGCCAGCAUUCAGUUGGGCACUCUAAGGUGACUGCCGGUGACAAACCGGAG
rnacentral:rRNA from 1 species